AAAGCUGGGGGAGCGAAGGGGAUUAGAUACCCCCGUAGGUCCCAGCCGUAAACGAUGCGGGCUAGGUGUUGGGCGAGCUUCGAGCUCGCCCAGUGCCGUAGGGAAACCGUUAAGCCCGCCGCCUGGGGAGUACGGCCGCAAGGCUGAAACUUAAAGGAAUUGGCGGGGGAGCACCACAAGGGGUGGAUGCUGCGGUUUAAUUGGAGUCAACGCCGGGAACUUUAUCGGGGGCGACAGCAGGAUGAAGGCCAGGCUGACGACCUUGCCAGACGAGCUGAGAGGAGGUACAUCGCCGUCGCCAGUUCGUGCCGUGAGGUGUCCGGUUAAGUCCGGCAACGAACGAGACCCUCAUCCCUAGUUGCUACCCGCUCCGUAAGGGGCGAGGCACUCUAGGGAGACUGCCGGCGUUGAGCCGGAGGAAGGAGGGGGCUACGGCAGGUCAGCAUGCCCCGAAACCCCCGAGCUACACGCGGCAUACAAUGGCGGGGACAAUGGGUUCCGACCCCGAAAGGGGGAGGCAAUCCCCUAAACCCCGCCUCGGUUGGGAUCGAGGGCUGCAACUCGCCCUCGUGAACGUGGAAUCCCUAGUAACCGCGCGUCACCAUCGCGCGGUGAU
rnacentral:rRNA from 1 species